GACGAACGCUGGGGCGUGCUUAACACAUGCAAGUCGAACGGUAAGGCCCUUCGGGGUACACGAGUGGCGAACGGGUGAGUAACACGUGGGUGAUCUGCCCUGCACUUCGGGAUAAGCCUGGGAAACUGGGUCUAAUACCGGAUAGGACCACUGCCUGCAUGGGUGGUGGUGGAAAGCUUUUGCGGUGUGGGAUGGGCCCGCGGCCUAUCAGCUUGUUGGUGGGGUGAUGGCCUACCAAGGCGACGACGGGUAGCCGGCCUGAGAGGGUGACCGGCCACAGUGGGACUGGGAUACGGCCCAGACUCCUACGGGGGGCAGCGGUGGGGAAUAUUGCACAAUGGGCGCAAGCCUGAUGCAGCGACGCCGCGUGAGGGAUGACGGCCUUCGGGUUGUAAACCUCUUUCAGCACCGACGAAGCGCAAGUGACGGUAGGUGCAGAAGAAGGACCGGCCAACUACGUGCCAGCAGCCGCCGUAA
rnacentral:rRNA from 1 species